CCUACGGGCGGCAGCAGUGAGGAAUAUUGGUCAAUGGCCGGAAGGCUGAACCAGCCAUGCCGCGUGAAGGUCAGUGCCCCAUGGGCGUUAAACUUCUUUUGUGCGGGAGCAAUAAUGGUCACGUGUGGCCAGACGAGAGUACCGUACGAAUAAGCAUCGGCUAACUCCGUGCCAGCAGCCGCGGUAAUACGGGCGAGGCCAGCGUUAUCCGGAGUUAUUGGGUUUAAAGGGUGCGUAGGCUGUGAGGUAAGUCAGCGGUGAAAUGCCCCCGCUCAACGGGGUGAAGUGCCAUUGAUACUGCCUUGCUGGAGUGCGGAUGCCGUGGGAGGAAUGUGUGGUGUAGCGGUGAAAUGCAUAGAUAUCACACAGAACACCGAUUGCGAAGGCAGCUCACGAAUCCGCGAUUGACGCUGAUGCACGAAAGCGUGGGUAUCAAACAGGAUUAGAUACCCGAGUAGUC
rnacentral:rRNA from 1 species